AUAAAAUCUAAAACACAUCGACACAAAACGUCAGAGGACAACUUGAGGCAAGGGAUCAGGAAAAGGUCAGAGGUCAUUAGGUGGAGUAGAGGCGCCCGGCAUCGACUUGUCUUCUUUUGCGAC